rnacentral:misc_RNA from 1 species
GGGGAGAGCAGCGUUCGAGGCUGUCAAUGGCUGCCAGUUGUCUCGUUGCCGAAGGUGUCAAGGACCCCGCAUCUAAAAUUGUACGUGCUCGUAUCCCGAAGCGGUCACGCUUGCCUCGACCAAAGAGAAGGGCGCUAGUCGGGCCGGUCAAGUUGAAGGCCGAAGCUGCCAACCACGGGUACAGUCCCUCUUCUUCGCCCUUCUUCCCACCAGGCCAACGAUCUUACAAGUGGCCCUUCCCUUGGGCCCUUCGCGCUUCAGCAAUGCGGAACUCGACAACAGUCAAGGUCAACGCGCAAGAUUCUGUUACGCAUAAUGGUUUAUGACCGAGUCGAGGUGAUGAUGAGUUUUAGGUUUUAUGGGAGAAGACUUUGGACGCAAGAUUGUUGGGUUUAUGGGAUCGAUCGUUAGACUUUUAGACCCAAAUGUUGAGCUUUUGUGGUCGAUUGUUUUUAUUUGUUCUAAGGAGAUUUAAAGAUUUUUGCCGUCUCUUUAUCUUCCAAUCAACGUAUGUUCUGGGCUAUCUUUUAUUUUUGUUGAACUAUCCCGUACCUUAUUUAAAUUUCCGGCGAUUGCUAUCGUACGUUGUCGUCAGAUUUCUUUAUGAAAUUUCCUGAAAUUCCUAUACUCUAACGAUACUGUUUAUUUCCUCCGAUCACGAUAAAAGUUUCUAACGAUAACUGUUACCUUUCCUCAUGAAUAUUAAGAUGAAGCGAUAGGAAAGUCGAAGCGAAGAUUCUUACAGGUACUUUCUACGAUACUUCUCUUCGUCGGAAAAGAAAAAAUAAAAUAACUUCAACCUUCUUACUCCAGCUACUUUUGCAAAGACACUGAAUGCUAAUAACAAUUGUAGAGCGUGUUAUACACUCGAAAAAUCGGACGCUGAACCCGAAAACAAUCGUUGAAAAGGAAGGAGAGUUUCGCGUGAAAUUCAAUAACUUGGGUGUCUAUACCACGGGUGAACUUCUAUUAUAUUUUGCUGAUCGGUUGCGAAAGUCUCGACACGUUUUGAGGUGGAUACCGUUACACGUGAUUGCGUUACAUGGUUGCAAGGGGAAAGAUAUUCUCAGCCUCCGUUCGAAAGUUGAUACAAUGUGCUCUUACUAAAAGUGAACGUCCAUACAGGAUGUUUCAGAGACAAAUUAUCCGGCAGUGACGAAACAGUUCCUAAAUCGAAUUACUCGGAGAAAAGAAUUAGCUGUAUAAUAACCUGCGAAAGUCUUUGGCCAGAUAGAUCGUAUUCGUAUACAUUCUUCGUCACGUUCUUUCAACGCUAGAACCAGCAAGUUUGUCAGGAUGA